rnacentral:rRNA from 1 species
UACGUAGGGUGCGAGCGUUGUCCGGAAUUAUUGGGCGUAAAGAGCUCGUAGGCGGUUGUGUCACGUCGGCCGUGAAAACCUGCAGCUUAACUGUGGGCGUGCGGUCGAUACGGGGCAUCACUGGAGUUCGGCAGGGGAGACUGGAAUUCCUGGUGUAGCGGUGAAAUGCGCAGAUAUCAGGAGGAACACCGGUGGCGAAGGCGGGUCUCUGGGCCGAUACUGACGCUGGAGGAGCGAAAGCGUCGGGGAGCAAACAGG